rnacentral:rRNA from 1 species
UACAGAGGUCCCAAGCGUUGUUCGGAUUCAUUGGGCGUAAAGGGUGCGUAGGCGGCGCGGUAAGUCGGGUGUGAAAUCUCGGAGCUUAACUUCGAAACUGCAUUCGAUACUGCCGUGCUAGAGGACUGGAGAGGAGACUGGAAUUUACGGUGUAGCGGUGAAAUGCGUAGAUAUCGUAAGGAAGACCAGUGGCGAAGGCGGGUCUCUGGACAGUUCCUGACGCUGAGGCACGAAGGCCAGGGGAGCAAACGGG